AGCGCUAUAAAAACCAGUCAGCGCUGACAGACUGAUGUACCUUUUUUAGAGUCUGUAUAUCUGGGACAAAAUGCACAUAGUGGAAUCUCUGCUUCUGGGAGCCCUCCUGUCGAAGGGCAGCAUUUACAGAAACUCAUAGCUACACUGUGCCGAACCUUUAGAAAAAGGAAAUCACUGGAGUUUUCAACAGCAACUCUGUAAAGGUCUCUAGCUUAAGUCAGCCUUCAUGUUUGGGGGUACUAGUCUAUAUGUGAUCAUAGUUUCAAAAGGCAAUUUUUUUGCCUGACACUGCGUUGCCCCUGGAUUGCUUAGCUUUGUAGUCUGGUUGCCCUCCUAGAAGGUGCAGAUCUGCCGUGGGGGAGAGACCUCCGCUGCAUUCUGAGAAAUCAACCUAGCCUGGAGACUUCACCACCUGGAUGCCCUGGCAUCAUUUCCCCCUACAGCUGCCUCGGGAAAGCAAAAGCAAGACUGAAAGACUGACAGCAUCCUGAUGGCAGCAUGGAGCGCCCUGUCUCCCCACUAAACACAAGUUAAAACCCGCCUAUUGACCACCAUGGUAUCACCCCAGGAAUUAUUUGGGUCUGCUGUGCGUAAGACUAGAGGUCGCCAUAAGCACGGAGAAACGUAACAGCCACAGGAAAUCAUAACUUCCAAAAGUGUGAUACAAACCGCUGCAAGACAAGGGCCGCAAUCUUGUUGUCUCCUAAAUGUCAUGCUGCUAACCUCCAUGGGCCUACGCCUGAUAGAAAGAUCAGAAUGAAGAUCAUCCCUGCCUCACCCACACUCUCGUGGGCACCUGCAUUUAGUCCCCAAGCCUCCCACCUGGCAUGCUGACUCUGUGAACACUUAAUUUCUUGAAUCAGCUGCUCAUAUCACAACUACUUCAAUGAUUUAUGUAAACAGUCAGUAAAAAUAAGCUGCACUUAUUUUAGUUAUUUUUUGUGACAUGGUAUAGAAACACAUGGUGCAAAAAGGUUCUAAAAAUCAAAUAUCGUCCUAUACUGUUAUAUGGAAAUCAGGAAGGAUAAAGACAGCUACUUCAGAAAAAAAUGCUUGGUUCGUUGUUUAUUAACUUCCUCAGGCAAAUACAGCUUUAUGCCGAAGGCUACUCCUGGAAAUAUAAACAUGUUCUGGA